UAACCAGGGGUCGCCUUCGACGUGGAAUACACUUUCUUUUUAAAGGUAAACUGAAGGUCGGGGAAAGAAUGCGGUCCAAUAAUAUAGUGAUCUCUUAGCUCCAGCUCUAGGAACACCUCUCUGUCGUUCUUCUCCCUGUCCUAACUGUUUAACUAGCUCCACAAGGAGCCCUUACGUCCCACAACCGGACUAAGACCACAGCCCUUCCCAGAAGGCUUUGCAGCGCCGCGGAGCAUUGUGGGAUACAGAAGGAAUAAACAAAUCCACGUAACCGAGACUUGGGCCAGAGAAGCCGCCAUAAAUCUCAUUGUCUUUGUAUGUAGCUUGACUAAAGGAAGAGAAUGCACAACUCAUCCAUUUUGAAGCAUUUCUAUUCGUUGUGGCAGAAAUAACUCAAGGCAAAUGUCUCUGGACACUGCCCCAUCUGAUAGGUCACACUAAGUGUGUGGCUCGGCUUGGCCAAGUCUUUAGUUGAGCGGUUCACCAUCCAGCACUGACCCAAGCAAGGCCAAGCCAAGCUCUUUUCCAGGAUUUUUAGAACUCACGGAAAAGCAAAAGCUUCUCUUUGUGUGUGUGUCUGGGCUGCAAGAUGUGAUAGCCCAGGAGGUGGUGGAGAAGCAGGGGAAACCUGCCUGCGGCGGCGAGAGAAAGGGAAAACCAGAGGUCAAAAUCCCAGAUCUUGGACUUGGCUCCAGUUAGUUUGAAUGAUGAAUGAGACUUUUAAACUGGUCUACCAGGUACACAGAGCGGCCAACUCCCUUUCAUCUGCAGGAGGAAGGAAUUCACACUAUCUCAGAGGACAGUGAGAAGUCUUGGAUUGGCCAUGUCUUAGUACCGGACAUAACCCUGAGCAGUCAUUCUUUGGUCGGAAAGGAGCAGAGAGGAGGAGAGGACAAUUGGCCCCACUUCGUUGGACCCAGGGCCUGUUUAGUAAGGAAAGGUCACAAGGAUGCCAGGUGACCGGCUGCAGCUGUGCAUGGUCCUACUUCCGUCCCACCCCACGGGACCUACCCACAGUCUGUCCUGGCGGCUAGGUGUGCUGCCUUUUGGCACCAGUGGUGACCCAGGGGUGCCAGGCUGCCCACAUUGGUUGGGAAUCCAGCUUCUUCAGAGCUGUGGUCACUCCAUCCACUGUGGCCAGAAAGCGGGAACCAGAACUGGCCAAGCAAUGGGGUUAUCGAACCUAGGUCUUUCUCAAAGAGCUACACAACCGGCCCUAUUUUUUAUCCUAAAGCUUGCCAAGUCUCUAUAAGUUGCUCAGUCUUGUGAUCCUCCUGCCUCAGCCUCCCAAAGUAGAGAUUAAAGGUAUACAACACCAUGCCUGGCUCCAAAA